UCUGCCCACGAAUAACCAAUCUGUGAAACGAUACCGUUUGGUUCAGACAUGGGCGCACAGCGAUUCGAAGCCAUCUAAGGGAUGACCAACUCUACUAUUCCUUGUGUUCAUCCUUUUGUUGUUUUACAACUCCGCUUCGGACAUUU
rnacentral:snoRNA from 14 species